CUCGUGUGGAUUUUUUAUGUGCAUGCACGACAACCAUUCAUUUGUGCCUUUCAUCAUCAGAUCAAACGGCAAGUUUAUUGUCUGAUUAAUUAGAGGUUUCUAUUUUAGAAUGAAAUUUUCUGAAUUUUUGCUAUCCCGCUGGUCCUUACUAAUUCAGUAUAUACUAGAAUUUGAAGUUGUGAUCAUCCAUUGUUCUACUAUGGAGACUAGGAUAAAUGAUUGCAGUUGCAGGGCCGCCGCCGUUGCUGAACACAAACGGGGCUCGAAGCAGGCCAAUCUCCGAGGUGGACCGGGCAACGGAUCGUGGAGAGGCGCCCAAGGAUUUUUUUUUGCUUCUGUUGAUUGUGCCAUCCAAUUGGUUUAGACUUUUCACCAUUGCUAAUUACUAGGGGCGUAUGGGUGCCGGACCUGGUAAGUGGCCUGCACGCUACGCUCUUGCCAAAUAAUUUGCAACCAUGCUUGCACUGAAUUUUUAUUUAUUUCCCGAUGUACCUUACAACAACUUCAUGAUGUAGCACUACUUUGCACUAGCAUGCACCUGCAGAUAUAAUAUGGAAAAUGACUGUCAUUUAGAAUUACUUCCAAGCUGCAUCGUCUAUCUGAAUGUCAGCCCGAAACCACUGGUUGGCACACAUAAAAUUUUGGAAGUUAAUGCAUUUCCACAAUAGAGAUGGGAAAUGGAUACAUCGUUGUCGUCCUUCAGUGAGCAGCCGAGGAGGAGCUCCUCCAUGCUGAUGAUGUGGAAGACAGAUACCCUGUCCGCGACGCCUGGUUCUGGCCUCAUAUACAUUGACUUCCUAUGUCAUCAGCAAAUGCAGUGGAGAAGAAGCCGGAGUCUGGAAGUGAUACUUUUGUGAGGAGUGCUGGAACAUGACUGGAUCAAGCGAGACAGAGAACAAUGGAUGAAAGAAAGAGAUCAGAAAAGGGAUUCACUCCUGACCACCUCAUACAUAUAUACAUGUUGAAAAUAUUGUUGAUUUUGAUUUAAAAAUGGCUAAAUUGGAGGAAAGCAUUUCUGCUACAUUCAUCGGCAAUACUGCACCAUAUACUAUAGAAGCUUGGGCCACUAAAUCAGCUGUUUCUAAUGGAUCUUCUUGGACUCAACAGUAUCAAUCUACUUCCCAGGCAUGUGGUUUAUUUUAUUCUUCAGCUCAAUGGAAAACCAUGGCAAGUUCUGUUUUACCUUUAGGGUGUUGUCAAAAUGAUUUCAAUGAGACCAAUUAAGUGAAUAGCCUAUGGAAAAAUGAUGACCUGUUGUUAAAAUGAAAUAAAAAC